GUAGGAGGUACCAGGCUACACACCCUGACUUGAACUCAGGGACAGGGCGUUCAAUUCGCCCAUCUCCUU
rnacentral:tRNA from 1 species